CUCCUACGGGAGGCAGCAGUGGGGAAUAUUGCACAAUGGGCGAAAGCCUGAUGCAGCGACGCCGCGUGAGGGAUGACGGCCUUCGGGUUGUAAACCGCUUUCGCCUGUGACGAAGCGUGAGUGACGGUAAUGGGUAAAGAAGCACCGGCUAACUACGUGCCAGCAGCCGCGGUAAUACGUAGGGUGCAAGCGUUGUCCGGAAUUAUUGGGCGUAAAGAGCUCGUAGGCGGUCUGUCGCGUCGAAUGUGAAAACCCGGGGCUCAACUCCGGGCUUGCAUUCGAUACGGGCAGGCUAGAGUUCGGUAGGGGAGACUGGAAUUCCUGGUGUAGCGGUGAAAUGCGCAGAUAUCAGGAGGAACACCGGUGGCGAAGGCGGGUCUCUGGGCCGAUACUGACGCUGAGGAGCGAAAGCGUGGGGAGCGAACAGGAUUAGAUACCCUGGUAGUUCAUGCCGUA
rnacentral:rRNA from 12 species